CUGGCUGCUAGGGAGGAAGGAUCUCUUCUGGAGAUCUGCUCUGCUGGAGUUUUGUAAGUGAGCCCAGGAUAGGGGUUGCUGGAAUAGCCAAGAAACCCUCCUCUGCCAGCAUGAAAGACACCAUGACAGGUGCAACAAGCAUACCAACACGACAAAAUUUGCAUUGGUGGCACCAUGAAUGCAUCUGCUUACAGCAUAUUGCCCAAGGAAAGGAAGGGAAUUACUAACUCGCAGCCCAGCACCAAUAGCAUAUCUAGGACCAUUGUAACCAAAUAACUAGGACCACCUCAUUGAGCAAAAUGGAAGUGGAAGGAGAGAAAUCCACAGGAUUUAGAGACGUGAUCCUCAAGCAAAGGCUUCAAGGACCAGCACAACAAUUAUCAUCUACGUUGAAAGCUUUCAUGAAGGGAACUGAACACCUCUGCAGGCAGCAAAGGACCUGAGAAAAAAGAACUCCAGUGAAAAAAAAAUUACCUAGAUAUCUGAAACUGAACUGGACAGACAAAUCAUCCCAGUAGUCCAGCUAUCUGGACAGAAUUAACCUCUCUGCAUCAAGCAGGAAAAGGAUGAGAGACUUGCUGCAGAAAUAUGCACCCAGGUGACCCUAGUGCAAAGGACUGACUGCCUUGAUCUCGUAGGCUAACUGCACUUGUCUUUGAUCUACUUACUGCCUAAGAGGAGAAGCAACUGGAUCUAAUCAGGAUGAGAUACAGACAAGCAUAACGUCUGCUUGGCUAUUGUCUCCAUGAUGCAUUCAUGCACAGGAUUUCUAAAACUAAGAGGAACACAUCACAGCACAUAUCUAAGUCUUGUGCCCUAUGAAGACAAAUGGAACUCAAACAACUGCAGAGCUCCUGCCCCAAGGAAUUGUUUCCAUGGAUGACAAUCAGUGGGAUCCCAGAGGAGCCACAAACUCACAGACUGGUGGGCUCCUUCUUCCAGCUGCUGUAUGUACAGAUAGCUCACUUUACACUUUCCCACUUUGCUCCAAAAAAAAGGUGAUAUAAUCACAUCAGGACUUUCAGAGUUUAAGCUGCAGAAGCCAUUUAUUCACAUCACCAGCUAGGGCUCAACAACCCAACUGACAUUCUUUGUGCUGAUACUUUUUUUUUUUUUCCAAACCAAAAAGUUCACAUGAACAUCAGCCCACAAAUCAGCCAUCAUCACAGCGCAAGAAUCUGACCACUUUUUUAUACAUGCUAAAGCUAAUCAACAGCUAUGCAAGACACCAGAGCAGGUGUGUUAGGCUAGACACAACAGAAGGGGACAGCAGGAUACUGCUACUGGCACCCAUUCAUUUACUUCCCUUUUACAGGUUUAUAGUACCAUAUAAACAAUUGCUCAGGUUUUACUAUACUGUCAUUUAGGAUGACUAUGCUGUAAGGCUCAGUCAUCUGAUCUCCAAUUUGUUUGCUUUUGAGUCCACUUAAUAGCUAUUUGUUCUUGUGUCAUUCACCUAGGUGAUUAAAAUAUCUCAUGCAAUAAUCAGAUUUUCUAGGCUCCUCUCAUCCUUUGAAAACUAAAAGCAUUCUCCAGAAGAUUCUCCACACUCAUAAUCAUUUAAGUGCAAGAUUAACUCAACUUCUCAUGUUAUUGAAGUCUCACUAGCACUCUACCGAGUCACAAAAUUGAUAAGGACCCUCUGAAAAUGGCUAAACCAAAAACUACAGUGUUUGGCAUUCACAGCUUUCUCUAGCACAACAGCACAUAUGCAAGAAUGCCAACCAUCAGAGAUGGUUGUGCAGCACAUUAUUAUUUUUCCCUCUGUUAACUGCCCUCUUUUCAUGCCUUGUAUUUUCAGAGCUCGCUGAAAGAUAACAUUCUUCUCCUUCAAUGCAAGUCUCUCUUGUCUCCAAAGUCUUUUUAAGAUCAAACCAAGUGAACAAAUAUUUAAACCACACCCCAAAGUCAUGACAGCUCAAAAGUCACACAUCAGUAAGAUCGUAGCCUCUAGAAAAGAUAAGUGUAUCUAAGGUAUAGAAUCUUCCAUUCACUAUUUGUUCCCCUCUUGCAAGCUCCAGAUUUGGGAGAAACUCCAAACAGAAGAGACUUCAGCAAGAAACCAUUCUCAUUUCCUCACAGCAAAAUUUCUCAGCUGGAAGGCAUUCUUUCAUAUGGAACUAGAUACAAAGACUUGUUUGUGCUUAAGCAUAAGUUUUCCCAACAUCUUCCGAGAUGAUGAGAGAAGUUCAGCACUUCUGCUUGAAACCAAUCAUGUGGCAAGGUAAAUGCAUCGUUCUGACGUGACAUUAUGGAUGAGCAUAUUCAGUAAACCUCAAUUCAGAAAUCAACUAAGACAGACUGAGCUUUUAUGGUCUCAUGGGAUUCCUGCAAACAAAACAGAUAGGCAAAUUUAAAAAAAAAAAAAAAAAAAAAAAAAAAAAUCAAUUGAAGUUUUUAUCUGAUCACCCCACACACACAGCCAAAGCUGGCCAUGAGACUUCCUAAUGUUUCAGUUCUUCACACUGCUGUAGUUAAGGAUUAACAGCCUUUUUUAGCAUCCUAACCUUCACAGAAGCUGUAUCUCUACCCAGGCAAACGUUUCAAGCGUCUUCAUGGAAGCAGUGUGUAUUCCAUACGUCUCAGAGCUGAUCCAAGGGGGUUAGCUGAACAUGGCACUUUCAGGAUGCAUUUGAGCAGCUGUGCCUGCCCAGCUGGCCCAUCAGACCCAAGGCAGCCUGUGGCCAGCCAGCACAGAGUAACAGCAAGCAGUCCUCCAGCAGGUCUCUCUAGAAGAUCCUACACUGCACAACUGUCAAGACUCCAUCAUGGACUCUGCAAUCCCACACAGCCACAGAACAGCUUCAAGUUUUCUCAAGUGCGGUACCUUCAUAGGAGAAAGAGUCGUCUUCUCCAUGAAUAGUACCAGAAACACAGGACAAAAGACGAUAACAAACUUAGGCACCAGAGGCAAUCCAACUAACAGUAGGAAGACUUUGCUUAACUCAAGUAAGUCUUCCAAACAGUACUAAACGAACUAAAGAAUUCUCCUGCAAAUAGCUGGACUGGCUUAAGAGUUCCUGUGACAAAAGGAGCUGCUAUGGGGGCCAGAAGAGCUCCUCAGUGCAGUGCAAAGGAAACUUGAAGUUGUGCCUAACUCGGGGAAAAAAAAAAAAAGACAA